rnacentral:ncRNA from 1 species
GUUGUUGCUACUCUAAUCCUGUCUACUACAAGAAGAACAGCAGUUUCAGACAUUUGGUAUAUGUGCCUGGUGGCGAUCGGCCAAUUGCGCAAAGCUACCAUCUGGGAGAUUAAGGCAGAACGCCUCUAAGUCUGAAUCUCAUCCAAACAUGAUGGUACAAGAGUGCACUACUACGGCCUGCCACGUUGAUAGGCAAAUGGGGCAUUUCCAUUCACGAGGAUUGGGACGGCCAGCCAGCGUGCCUCGCCUCUCGUGGUUGGUCUGGUAUCAGCAGUGCUAAGCCAGAUCGUUGACCAUAACCAUAUGCAUCUGAUUGUAAUGACGCUGCUGCGGAUACUGCUGCGUGGGGAUUGAUACGAUAUCCAAUUGUGGAAUGAGUGUGGAGGCACAAAAUCGUUUGUUUUGUCGGGGAGAUGUGAGUAUUCGAGCAGCUAUCACACGGCAAGGUAUUGAGUCCUAUCCCUAAUAGACGUAAUGAUUU